rnacentral:rRNA from 2 species
GGUAAGGAACCGUCUCACAAGGAAAGGUUUGUGGCCCACCUGGAGGGGUAUCGCCACACGGGAAAUGAACACGGUCCAAAUUCUUGGGGGAGCAGCAUUGGGAAUUUUCCGCAAUGGGCGAAACCUGAAGGAGCAACGCCGCUUGAGUGAUGAAGGUCUUAGGAUCGUAAAACUCUGUUGUUAGGGAAGAACAAAUUUGUUAGUAACUGAACAAGUCUUGACGGUACCUAACCAGAAAGCCACGGCUAACUACGUGCCAGCAGCCGCGGUAAUACGUAGGUGGCAAGCGUUAUCCGGAAUUAUUGGGCGUAAAGCGCGCGUAGGCGGUUUCUUAAGUCUGAUGUGAAAGCCCACGGCUCAACCGUGGAGGGUCAUUGGAAACUGGGGAACUUGAGUGCAGAAGAGGAGAGUGGAAUUCCAUGUGUAGCGGUGAAAUGCGCAGAGAUAUGGAGGAACACCAGUGGCGAAGGCGGCUCUCUGGUCUGUAACUGACGCUGAUGUGCGAAAGCGUGGGGAUCAAACAGGAUUAGAUACCCUGGUAGUCCACGCCGUAAACGAUGAGUGCUAAGUGUUAGGGGGUUUCCGCCCCUUAGUGCUGCAGCUAACGCAUUAAGCACUCCGCCUGGGGAGUACGACCGCAAGGUUGAAACUCAAAGGAAUUGACGGGGACCCGCACAAGCGGUGGAGCAUGUGGUUUAAUUCGAAGCAACGCGAAGAACCUUACCAAAUCUUGACAUCCUUUGAUCGCUCUAGAGAUAGAGUUUUCCCCUUCGGGGGACAAAGUGACAGGUGGUGCAUGGUUGUCGUCAGCUCGUGUCGUGAGAUGUUGGGUUAAGUCCCGCAACGAGCGCAACCCUUAAGCUUAGUUGCCAUCAUUAAGUUGGGCACUCUAGGUUGACUGCCGGUGACAAACCGGAGGAAGGUGGGGAUGACGUCAAAUCAUCAUGCCCCUUAUGAUUUGGGCUACACACGUGCUACAAUGGAUAAUACAAAGGGCAGCGAACCCGCGAGGUCAAGCAAAUCCCAUAAAAUUAUUCUCAGUUCGGAUUGUAGUCUGCAACUCGACUACAUGAAGCUGGAAUCGCUAGUAAUCGUAGAUCAGCAUGCUACGGUGAAUACGUUCCCGGGUCUUGUACACACCGCCCGUCACACCACGAGAGUUUGUAACACCCGAAGCCGGUGGAGUAACCUUUUAUUAGGAGCUUAUGCGGC